rnacentral:misc_RNA from 1 species
GGAAGGAUCAUUACUGAAUUGUCAAACGGGCUGUUGCUGGUCCUCAAACGGGGACAUGUGCACGCUCUGUUUACACAUCCACUCACACCUGUGCACCCUCUGUAGUUUUACGGUCUGGGGGACCCUGUCUUCCUUCCGUAGUUCUACGUCUUUACACACACACACU